rnacentral:rRNA from 1 species
AAAAACAUGUCUUUUUGUUAAUAAUUUAAAGUCUAAUCUGCCCACUGAAUUAUUUUAAAGGGCUGCAGUAUAUUGACUGUACAAAGGUAGCAUAGUCAUUAGUCUUUUAAUUGAAGACUUGUAUGAAUGAUUUGAUGAAAUAUAAACUGUCUCUUUAUUAGAAAUAGAAUUUAAUUUUUUAGUUAAAAAGCUAAAAUAUAUUUAAAAGACGAGAAGACCCUAUAGAGUUUUAUAUUAAAAAUAAUAUUAAUUUUAUAUAAAAUUUUUAUUUAAUAUUUUUUUGAAUAUUUUAUUGGGGUGAUAGAAAAAUUUAAUAAACUUUUUUUAAAAAUUUUACAUUAAUAUAUGAAAUUUUGAUCCAUAAUUUAUGAUUAAAAGAUUAAAUUACCUUAGGGAUAACAGCGUAAUUUUUUUUUUUAGUUCUUAUAAGAAAAAAAGUUUGCGACCUCGACUGCUUGGAUUAAGAUAAAAUUUAAAUGCAAAAGUUUAAAAUUUUGAUCUGUUCGAUCAUUAAAAUCUUACAUGAUCUGA